rnacentral:rRNA from 1 species
UACGGAGGGUGCAAGCGUUGUCCGGAAUCACUGGGCGUAAAGGGCGCGUAGGCGGCUCGUGAAGGCUGUGGUGAAAGUCCGGGGCUCAACCUCGGAUCGGCCGUGGCGACUCGUGGGCUGGAGCACUGUAGAGGCGGGUGGAAUUCCGGGUGUAGCGGUGGAAUGCGUAGAGAUCCGGAAGAACACCAGUGGCGAAGGCGGCCCGCUGGGCAGUGGCUGACGCUGAGGCGCGACAGCGUGGGGAGCAAACAGG